UACGUAGGGCGCAAGCGUUUGUCCGGAAUUAUUGGGCGUAAAGAGCUCGUAGGCGGUUUGUCGCGUCUGCUGUGAAAACCUAAGGCUCAACCUUGGGCUUGCAGUGGGUACGGGCAGACUAGAGUGCGGUAGGGGUGACUGGAAUUCCUGGUGUAGCGGUGGAAUGCGCAGAUAUCAGGAGGAACACCGGUGGCGAAGGCGGGUCUCUGGGCCGAUACUGACGCUGAGGAGCGAAAGCAUGGGGGAGCGAACAGG
rnacentral:rRNA from 1 species